CCUACGGGUGGCAGCAGUGAGGAAUAUUGGUCAAUGGACGAGAGUCUGAACCAGCCAAGUAACGUGAAGGAUGACUGCCCUAUGGGUUGUAAACUUCUUUUAUAUGGGAAUAAAAUGUUCCACGUGUGGGAUUUUGUAUGUACCAUAUGAAUAAGGAUCGGCUAACUCCGUGCCAGCAGCCGCGGUAAUACGGAGGAUCCGAGCGUUAUCCGGAUUUAUUGGGUUUAAAGGGAGCGUAGGUGGAUUGUUAAGUCAGUUGUGAAAGUUUGCGGCUCAACCGUAAAAUUGCAGUUGAAACUGGCAGUCUUGAAUACAGUAGAGGUGGGCGGAAUUCGUGGUGUAGCGGUGAAAUGCUUAGAUAUCACGAAGAACUCCGAUUGCGAAGGCAGUUCACUGGACUGCAACUGACACUGAGGCUCGAAAGUGUGGGUAUCAAACAGGAUUAGAUACCCCUGUAGUC
rnacentral:rRNA from 1 species